rnacentral:lncRNA from 1 species
AAUGGCAGCCCACUCCAGUACUCUUGCCUGGAGAAUCCCAUGGAUGGAGGAGCCUGGUGGGCUGCAGUCCAUGGGGUCACGAAGAGUCAGACAUGACUGAGUGACUUCACUUUGACUAUUCACUCUCAUGCAUUGGAGAAGGAAAUGGCAACCCACUCCAGUAUUGUAGCUUCUUACUUUUCUUUGAUAAGUUCCUUUGAGGUCACUUGCUUAGAUGCUCCAGAAAUUAAGGCUAUAAAUAACAAUCACUGCAGAAGAGAGGAAUGCUGGGCUUCAAGCCUUGGAAAUGUUGCCACCAAGUCACCAAGUCCUUCACCUCAGCCUCUCUGGUCAGUAACCAGCAGACACUGGCAGCAUGCAGAAAUCUCAUCCCUUAUCCACUAUCAUGUUGUGACUAUUAAAGGAAAUGUCUGCUCUUCUGAAAUGAGUCCAAAAAUAAAUGGUUGAUUUGACCUACUCAACUAACUAGCAAACUUAGUAAGAAAGUAAAACAGGUGAAAAAAAAUUGAACAAGUUGUAAAAAUCAAAACCAAUACAAUAUUGUUAAGUAAAAUUUAAAAAUAAAAUAAAAUAAAUUUAAAAAAUAAAAAAAAAGCCUAAGCAGGAAUUGCUCCUGCAAAGCUCUUGCCUAAUUCACACAAGUAUGGAGGAAGUUAUCACUUAAGUACAAAGAAGUCACAUUCCCAUGCAAGCACAAGGUCAUUACCUUACUCACAUGAGCACAAGGUCAUCACACUCCCCACAUGUGUACAAUGUAACCACACUUAAAACCAUACUUGCAACCACAGUGGAUAGGUUCAAGGGCAGAUAACUGUCCCACAUUAACGAAUCAGUUUCUUUAGAUUUUUUUUGUAUACUUGGAACAAAGUUAACAUAGUCUUUUUCAGGUGACCAAAACUGUAAUAUAUACAAUUUUUAAAUUGACCACAGCCAUAUUUUCUUAUUUGUGGAAAAGCUGAUCUGUGGUGGAAGAAGAGAAAAAAAAAAAAAAAAAAAAAAAAAAAGCUGACAUUUGGGGAGGAAAAGAAGAAUUGAAAGAGAAACAUCAGUGAGCACAUUUCUAUCUUCAACUCAGUUGCCCCUAACAGUGUGAUGCAUCCCAGACCUUUAAUGGUUUUGGUUGUUCAAAUUUUCCUUAAACUAUUAGAUAAAUCCAGCAUUCUUUUGGUAAAGUCUCCUUUUAAAUUAAGAUACAUGCAACUUGGUUCUUCUAGCC